CCCUUAGAUGUUCUGGGCCGCACGCGCGCUACACUGACGAAUGCAACGAGCUUAUAACCUUGGCCGAAAGGUCUGGGUAAUCUCCAAAUUUCGUCGUGAUGGGGAUAGAUUAUUGCAAUUAUUAAUCUUCAACGAGGAAUGCCUAGUAAGCGCAAGUCAUCAGCUUGCGUUGAUUACGUCCCUGCCCUUUGUACACACCGCCCGUCGCUCCUACCGAUUGAAUGGUCCGGUGAAGCCUCCGGAUUGGCGCGCACCUCGGUGCCGCCGAGAAGUUGGCUAAACCUUACCAUUUAGAGGAAGGUGAAGUCGUANCA
rnacentral:rRNA from 1 species